AGAGUCAUAGUUACUCCCGCCGUUUACCCGCGCUUGGAUGAAUUACUUCACUUUGACAUUCAGAGCACUGGGCAGAAAUCACAUUGCGUCAACACCAGUCACCAGCCAUCGCAAUGCUUUGUUUUAAUUAAACAGUCAGAUUCCCCUUGUCCGUUCCAGUUCUAAGUUGGUUGUUAAUCGCCUGCCGAAUCGACCUGACGGUCACAGCUGAGCCAAUCCACGCGAAGUCCCUUCGCAGUCCGACUUCAACGCGCAGCGAG
rnacentral:lncRNA from 1 species